rnacentral:rRNA from 1 species
UAGAAAAGCAUCUAGAGAGAGAAGUAGUGCCCGUACCGCAAACCGACACAGGUAGAUGAGGAGAGAAUCCUAAGGCCGGCGGAAGAAUUGCAGUUAAGGAACUAGGCAAAUUGACCCCGUAAGUUCGCGAGAAGGGGUGCCUGCGAGAGCAGGCCGCAGAGAAUAGGCCCAAGCAACUGUUUAGCAAAAACACAGGUCUCUGCUAAAGCGUAAGCUGAUGUAUAGGGGCUGACGCCUGCCCGGUGCUGGAAGGUUAAGGGGAACACUUAGCGCAAGCGAAGGUGUGAACUUAAGCCCCAGUAAACGGCGGCCGUAACAAUAACGGUCCUAAGGUAGCGAAAUUCCUCGUCAGGUAAGUUCUGACCCGCACGAAUGGCGUAAUGACUUGGGCACUGUCUCAACUGCAAAUCCGGCGAAGUUGUAGUGCGAGUGAAGAUGCUCGCUACCCGCGAUUGGACGGAAAGACCCCGUAGAGCUUUACUGUAGCUUAGCAUUGAAUUCCGGUAUUGUCUGUACAGGAUAGGUGGGAGACUGGGAAACUAGGGCGUCAGCCUUAGUGGAGUCAACCUUGGGAUACCACCCUGACAGUACUGGGGUUCUAACAGGACGCCAUGAAGCUGGUGACUGGACAUUGUUAGGUGGGCAGUUUGACUGGGGCGGUCGCCUCCUAAAAAGUAACGGAGGCGCCCAAAGGUUCCCUCAGAACGGUCGGAAAUCGUUCGUAGAGUGCAAAGGCAGAAGGGAGCCUGACUGCGAGACCCACAAGUCGAGCAGGGACGAAAGUCGGGCUUAGUGAUCCGGUGGUACCUCGUGGGAGGGCCAUCGCUCAACGGAUAAAAGCUACCUCGGGGAUAACAGGCUGAUCUCCCCCAAGAGUCCACAUCGACGGGGAGGUUUGGCACCUCGAUGUCGGCUCGUCGCAUCCUGGGGCUGUAGUAGGUCCCAAGGGUUGGGCUGUUCGCCCAUUAAAGCGGCACGCGAGCUGGGUUCAGAACGUCGUGAGACAGUUCGGUCCCUAUCCGUCGCGGGCGUAGGAAAUUUGAGAGGAGCUGUCCUUAGUACGAGAGGACCGGGAUGGACUGACCUCUGGUGCACCAGUUGUUCUGCCAAGAGCAUGGCUGGGUAGCUAAGUCGGGAAGGGAUAAACGCUGAAAGCAUCUAAGCGUGAAGCCCCCCUCAAGAUGAGAUUUCCCAUAGCAUAAGCUAGUAAGACCCCUUGAAGAACACAAGGUUGAUAGGUCAGAGGUGGAAGUGCGGUAACGUAUGUAGCUGACUGAUACUAAUAGGUCGAGGGCUUGACCAU